UCGCAUCGAUGAAGGACGCAGCGAAUUGCGAUAAGUAAUGUGAAUUGCAGAUUUUCCGUGAAUCAUCGAAUCUUUGAACGCACCUUGCGCUCCUUGGUAUUCCGAGGAGCAUGCCUGUUUGAGUGUCAUCGAAAUCUCGAACCGAGCCUCUUUUGACUUGGUUUCG
rnacentral:rRNA from 1 species